UCCCCAUAUUCCCUUCUCUGUUCUCUCUCACAUCGGCAAUUAUUGGUAGAAAUCCCGUCAUCUGUAUCUCAUCUCUAUUAUCUCUUCAAAAAAUGGUCGCCGAGAAUAUCUUGGGAGGACUCUUCGCCGUUUUUCUUGGGUUUUAUCUGUUGUACAGCUCCCAAGCGAAGAAGAAGAAGAAGGGGAAGGACAGAGCUUCGGCCAAGAGCCGGGAUUAUUGUGUCAAUAGCACCGCUAAUGGAGAAUGCAGGUUGGAUAACGGAGGAGUUACCGACGUCAUAAUCGUCGGAGCAGGUGUUGCUGGUUCUGCGCUCGCUCACACGCUUGGCAAGGAUGGGCGCAUAGUGCAUUUGAUUGAGAGAGAUUUGACAGAGCCUGACAGAAUUGUUGGUGAACUAUUACAGCCAGGGGGCUACCUGAAAUUGAUUGAGCUGGGCCUUGAGGAUUGUGUGGAGGACAUUGAUGCUCAGCGAAUAUUUGGUUAUGUUCUUUAUAAGGAUGGGAAGAAGACUAGACUUGCAUAUCCAUUAGAAAAAUUCCAUGCAAAUGUCUCAGGAAGGAGCUUCCACAAUGGCCGUUUCAUACAAAGGAUGCGGGAGAAAGCUGCUUCUCUUCCCAAUGUACGAUUGGUGCAGGGAACUGUUACAUCCUUACUUGAAGAGAAUGGCACCAUUAAGGGGGUGCUAUACAAGACUAAGACUGGUGAAGAGCUACAAGCAUAUGCACCUCUCACAAUUGUAUGUGAUGGGUGUUUCUCAAAUUUGCGCCGUUCUCUCUGCAAUCCUAAGGUAGAUGUGCCGUCUUAUUUUGUUGGUUUGGUCCUAGAGAACUGUCAACUUCCAUAUCCAAAUCAUGGGCAUGUUAUUUUAGCAGAUCCUUCUCCCAUCUUGUUCUAUCCCAUUAGUAGUUCGGAAGUUCGCUGUUUGGUUGAUGUACCAGGACAAAAGGUGCCUUCUCUUGCUAAUGGUGAAAUGGCCAAGUAUUUGAAGACUGUAGUGGCUUCUCAGAUCCCUCCUGAACUGUAUGAUGCCUUUAUAGCUGCAAUUGACAAAGGAAGCAUCAAAACAAUGCCAAACAGAAGUAUGCCAGCUGCACCUCUUCCAACUCCCGGGGCUCUAUUAAUGGGGGAUGCAUUCAACAUGCGUCAUCCUUUAACUGGUGGAGGAAUGACGGUUGCAUUGUCUGACAUUGUUGUGCUAAGGAAUCUUCUUAAGCCCCUGCGAUAUCUGAAUGAUUCAUCUUCACUGUGCAAUUAUCUUGAAUCUUUUAACACCUUGCGUAAGCCUCUGGCAUCUACGAUAAAUACAUUGGCAGGUGCUCUGUACAAGGUGUUUUGUGCUUCAUCAGAUCAAGCAAGGAAGGAAAUGCGUGAAGCAUGUUUCGAUUAUUUAAGCCUUGGAGGUGUUUGCUCAACAGGACCAGUUGCUUUACUCUCCGGUCUAAACCCACGCCCAUUGAGCUUGGUUCUUCAUUUCUUUGCUGUCGCAAUAUAUGGUGUUGGCCGCCUAUUACUUCCAUUUCCUUCGUUCAAACGCAUCUGGCUUGGAGCUAGAUUAAUUUCGAAUGAGUGCUGUAUUAUCCAUUAAUGUCCAGCUGAGGAACUGCAUUGUCAUGGAUCCUUCAGCUUCACCUUAUAACAUUGGAGCAUCCGGUAUCAUUUUCCCCAUUAUAAAGGCUGAAGGGGUUAGACAGAUGUUUUUCCCGGCAACAGUUCCAGCAUAUUACCGGGCUUCUCGUUUUAAGUGA